AGUGAACGCUGGCGGUAGGCCUAACACAUGCAAGUCGAACGGCAGCACAGUAAGAGCUUGCUCUUACGGGUGGCGAGUGGCGGACGGGUGAGGAAUACAUCGGAAUCUACUUUUUCGUGGGGGAUAACGUAGGGAAACUUACGCUAAUACCGCAUACGACCUACGGGUGAAAGCAGGGGAUCUUCGGACCUUGCGCGAUUGAAUGAGCCGAUGUCGGAUUAGCUAGUUGGCGGGGUAAAGGCCCACCAAGGCGACGAUCCGUAGCUGGUCUGAGGGGAUGGAUCGCCAACACGGAACCGAGACACGGGUCCAACUCCUAAGGGGAGCAGCCGGUGGGAAUAUUGGACAAUGGGCGCAAGCCUGAUCCAGCCAUACCGCGUGGGUGAAGAAGGCCUUCGGGUUGUAAAGCCCUUUUGUUGGGAAAGAAAAGCAGCAGGUUAAUACCCCGCUGUUCUGACGGUACCCAAAGAAUAAGCACCGGCUAACUUCGUG
rnacentral:rRNA from 1 species